UUGUAUUCUGCUCAGAGCUCAUCUCCUUGAAAAUCAGUUCAACUUCAUGUAGUCAAUCUUUCCAUCCAAACCUGCUUUAUCAAUCUUCAUAUCGAGUUGUUCUGUUGAUUUUUCCUCAACUCUGAGCUCUGAAAAAGCUAUGUCCACUUCGCGAUUCCUUCUCGUUCUCCAUCUUCAGCAAAUUAACCACUCGGAGGCGUCGAUUUCAAAUGAUGCUCCACGAAUCCCUACUUCGCCUGCUACAAUUUCUCCCUCCUCUAAUGCUAGGGCUUCGGCGAUGUCUGCAUCCAGGCCAGAAGAGUGGCAGAGUUACUAUCCUGAAUUGCAUUAGAAGAACAGUCUGUCUUCAUAGUCCUCUGCCUUAUAUACAUUUCUAUUGUACCAUUGAAGAGAUUAAGUCUCCUUAGACUUCCCAAACUUGUACAUUUAUGGAAGACAAACUUGCAAGCAACCCAUCAUUCCUCAACUUAGAAGUCCUCAAGGUAGAAGAAUGCGGUCGAUUAAAUCUUUUAUUUCCGUCGUCAUUCUCCCUCCACAACUUGAAGUCUAUCAGAAUAGUUCCCUGUCAUGGAUUGGUUCACUUGAUGAAUUCAUAAGUAGCUAAAACCCUGGUGAAACUGCAAGAGAUGCGUUUAUCUUCUUGCAAAAAGAUUCUACCAUAAUUGCAAAAGGAGAAGGAGGUGAAGAAGAGGAUGAAAUCGUUUUCAGCCAAUUGAAGAUUUUGGAGCUCUUCAACUUACCCAAUUUAUCAACCUUUCAUUUUGGGAAAAGCAGUUUUAAGUUGCCGUGCCUGGGAAAAGUGGUUGCGAAGAAAUGCCCUGAAAUGAAAGCAUCUUCUGGUGGAGUUGUGAGCACGCCUGAACAUUACUGGUAUGUCAAAUGUGGAUCAGACGAGGGAUUUUGGACAAGCAACGUCAAUGCCACCAUCAACCGGCUAUGGUAUGAUGGCCAUGACACUAGCCUUCAGAGUUUGUUUAUUGAACAGGUAUGUGUCUAUUGAUUCUACAAAUUUUUAUUGCAUGAUUUUACUUCUAUGCAUAAAUCAUUUGUAUGAUUUUACUUAGGGGGGUGAGAAACUGGUUUGGUCGGGUGGGAUCGGUUUUCAUGUAAAAGGAGAAAACCGACUCGGUUUGAUUUAGUGGUGAAGAAACCGAACUGAUUCAGGUCGCUUUAUGGCUGGUUUUUCUUUUACUUAUGUUGAAUUGAAUUGGAAAACUAAGUGGUAUCACGGGAUAUAGUCCUAAUAGAUAUUUUUUUUUUCAAAUGUACAAAAAUCAACUUUUAAUAUCAGAGCCAAGUUUCGAUCC